GGUUAAGGAGGUGCCACUCUGGGAGCAGAAGGCAGUCACUGGAGCAGAUCAGUGGAGCUACGUUACGGAGAUCCGGGAUGGUCCGUGAGGAUGCUGGGCCUCACCUGCCUCUUCCUCCUGCUUGCCACCUCUCAGUCACAAGACGGCUGCUGCGACUCAGGCUCAUGUCCCAAUUCAAGGCAGCAAGAAGGCCAUGGAGCGGCACCUGCCAGCAGAUGCCCCUGCAGGCCAUCUCUCCAGGCUCAGGAACCUAAAGAAGAAUCUACCCAGAUGUGGUGGCUCACACCUGUGAUCCCACCACUUUGGGAGGCUGAGGCAAGAGGAUCACUUGAGCCCAGGAGUUGGAGACCAACGUAGGCAAUACAGCAAGACUCCCAUCUCUACAAAAAAAAAAAAGAAAGAAAGAAAGAAAGAAAAGAAAUUAGCUGGCUGUGGUGCUGCACAUUUGUAAUACCAGCUACUCUAGAGGCUGAGGCUGGAGGAUCACUUGAGCCGAGGAGUGAGCUAUGACCACACCAUUGCAUUUCAGCCUCAGUGACAGAGCAAGGCCCUGCCUCAAAAAAAAAAAAAAAAAAAGAAAAGAAUAAGAUAAAAUAAAUAAUACAGGAGAACCUAGUGCUCAGGUUCUCUAGUGAAGAGGAAGGCAAAAGAUAGAAAGGUCAGACAAACUUAAACAUGCAUUCCAAGAUCGGCCUGGGUCCGCCCGUAGACAUGAAGGAAUCUUCUGGUGGAAAGUUAGGCAGGGAAACGGACACUGCUAUGAGCAUGUCUUCCUGGGCAGCUUGCGAUGGUCAGGAGGAGGUGGUUGUUCCUCAGCAGCGGUGCUUCCGAUGAAGCCCCAUGUUGUAGUGGAAGACAAGCCAUUCCUGUCUGACCUUCUGUGCCGCGCCUAGGCUUCCAAAAGCUGCUAUCGCCAAGAUCCAUUUCCGUUCACCUUUAAACUGCUUGUUAUGGGGAGGAGUCAGCCAGCCAUGAUGCAUACUUGUUACAGAAAGAAACGCCCACGUUGAGCUCUCCUGAUAAGAAGAGAGAGCAUUCGUCAUUGUCUGUAUCUGUCAUCUGAAGAAGGAACCAAUGUCAAAAAUCCCACACAUUCUCCUCCCGCAAGUCACAGAGUAAGCCUCCCAUUCUUGAGCUCGUUCAUUCACCAAACACAUUCUGAUCUCUCCUGUGCCCAGGCGGUGGGAUUCAGAGAAGAAGUGCUGCCUAGUAGUCAGCACCCAGUGCCAGGAAAACAGGACAAGGGGAGUUGUCGGGGGAGACACCAGGAUUGAAGUUGCUUUUACUAAAAAACAUUUUUUUUAUCUUGUUAACAAAUAUAUUUACCAUGGUACAUGGUGGCAAUGCUCUCAGUUUUAAAACACAGCAAUUAUCUUCCAGUGGUCACUAAUUAAUCCAGGUGUGGCUAGGAACAGCUGGAUACUGAUCUGUGUGAUGAUGGCACCUCUAUCAUCAGGCUGCCAUUGCUGGCACUUUGGGCAAGGUGGACUGGGGUUCUGCUCUGGGGCUGUGUGCCCAAGGUUUACACCUCACUAUUUUACAGCACACUGGAGCUCCCAACAGUCCCCGAAGGUCUGGAGAUCACCAAUGGGCAGGAGAGAAGGGAGGGGUUUAGACAUCAGGGAGCCAAGUUCUACAGCAUCUUCUAGAUCCAGGCUAUCGAGCACUUGAAAUGCGGCUAAGUCUGAAUUGAGAUGUGCUGUGUGUAAGAGACACAACAGAUUUUGAAGACAGUAUGAGAAAAAGAACAUAAAAUAUCUCAGUAAUUUUAUAUUGAUUACAUGUUGAAAUGAUACUAAUUUUUGAUAUACUGGGUUAAAUAAAAUAGAUUAUUAAAAUUAACUUCAUCUCUUUCUUUUGACCUUUUCAACAUGGCCAUUAGAAAAUUCAGCUUACGUAGUAGGCUCACUUUCUACUGCACAGCCCUGGAUGUCAAACUCAAUGAGAGCGGUGUCUGUACCUGUAUCUGCUCAUCCAGUCCAUAAAAGUCAGCACAGUACCUAGCACUGAAAGUACUCCAUAAAUAUUUGAGGGAUGGACAAAAGUACAAGUGAACAAAUAGCAUCUGCUCCUCAUUUCUGUAACAAAGUCUAAACUUU
rnacentral:lncRNA from 1 species